rnacentral:rRNA from 1 species
UCAAGUAAUGAAGUGCACAUGGUGGAUGCCUUGGCAGUCAGAGGCGAUGAAAGACGUGACAGCCUGCGAAAAGCGUCGGGGAGGCGGCAAUAUCCUGUGAUCCGGCGAUAUCUGAAUGGGGAAACCCACCUGUCAUAAGACAGGUAUCGUAAAUUUAUUUACGAGGCAAACCGGGAGAAGUGAAACAUCUCAGUAACCCGAGGAAAAGACAUCAAUAGAGAUUCCCCUAGUAGCGGCGAGCGAACGGGGAGGAGCCGACUGAUUAUAAUUUAGAGGAAUGACUUGGAAAGGUCAAUCGUAGAGGGUGAUAAUCCCGUACUCGAAAGGUUAUAAGAAGCAUAUUAAGUAGGGCGGAACACGAGAAAUUCUGUCUGAAGAUGGGGGGACCAUCCUCCAAGGCUAAAUACUCCUGACUGACCGAUAGUGAACCAGUACCGUGAGGGAAAGGCGAAAAGAACCCCUGUGAGGGGAGUGAAAUAGAUCCUGAAACCGUGUGCAUACAAGCAGUCGGAGCAUCAUUUAUGAUGUGACGGCGUACCUUUUGUAUAAUGGGUCAGCGACUUAUAUUCUGUAGCAAGGUUAACCGAUUAGGGGAGCCGUAGGGAAACCGAGUCUUAAUAGGGCGUUUAGUUGCAGGGUAUAGACCCGAAACCGAGUGAUCUAUCCAUGAGCAGGUUGAAAGUGACGUAACAGUUACCGGAGGACCGAACCCACUGUCGUUGAAAAGCCAGGGGAUGACUUGUGGAUAGGGGUGAAAGGCUAAUCAAACUCGGUGAUAGCUGGUUCUCCCCGAAAGCUAUUUAGGUAGCGCCUCGGACGAACACCAUUGGGGGUAGAGCACUGUUUCGGCUAGGGGGUCAUCUCGACUUACCAAACCGAUGCAAACUCCGAAUACCGAUGAGUGAUAUCCGGGAGACAGACGGCGGGUGCUAACGUCCGUCGUCAAGAGGGAAACAACCCAGACCGCCAGCUAAGGCCCCAAAUUCCUAGUUAAGUGGGAAACGAUGUGGGAAGGCACAGACAGCUAGGAGGUUGGCUUAGAAGCAGCCAUCCUUUAAAGAAAGCGUAAUAGCUCACUAGUCGAGUCGGCCUGCGCGGAAGAUGUAACGGGGCUCAAACUAGGAGCCGAAGCUGCGGAUUUAAUUGUUUCAAUUAAGUGGUAGGGGAGCAUUGUGUAAGCCUGUGAAGGUGUGUUGUAAAGCAUGCUGGAGGUAUCACAAGAGCGAAUGCUGACGUGAGUAACGACAAUGCGAGUGAAAAGCUCGCACGCCGGAAGACCAAGGGUUCCAGUCCAACGUUAAUCGGGGCUGGGUGAGUCGACCCCUAAGGCGAGGCCGAAAGGCGUAGUCGAUGGGAAAUUGGUUAAUAUUCCAAUACUUCUGUGUAAUGCGAUGAGAGGACGGAGAAGGUUAAGUCAGCCUGGCGUUGGUUGUCCAGGUGGAAGGCAGUAGGCAUGCAUCUUAGGCAAAUCCGGGGUGCUCUAUGCUGAGAGCUGACAGCAAGCUGUACUUGUACAGUGAAGUGGCUGAUACCAUGCUUCCAGGAAAAGUCUCUAAGCUUCAGUUACACAGGAAUCGUACCCGAAACCGACACAGGUGGUCAGGUCGAGUAGACCAAAGCGCUUGAGAGAACUCUGCUGAAGGAACUAGGCAAAAUGGUACCGUAACUUCGGGAGAAGGUACGCUGCCGAUGGUGAGUAGUCAUGCACUACAAAGCUAUUGGCAGUCGCAGAUACCAGGCCGCUGCAACUGUUUAUUAAAAACACAGCACUCUGCAAACACGAAAGUGGACGUAUAGGGUGUGAUGCCUGCCCGGUGCUGGAAGGUUAAUUGAUGGGGUUAGCGUAAGCGAAGCUCUUGAUCGAAGCCCCAGUAAACGGCGGCCGUAACUAUAACGGUCCUAAGGUAGCGAAAUUCCUUGUCGGGUAAGUUCCGACCUGCACGAAUGGCAUAAUGAUGG